rnacentral:rRNA from 1 species
AGAGUUUGAUCAUGGCUCAGAUUGAACGCUGGCGGCAUGCUUUACACAUGCAAGUCGAACGGCAGCGCGGGGCAACCUGGCGGCGAGUGGCGAACGGGUGAGUAAUAUAUCGGAACGUACCCAAGAGUGGGGGAUAACGUAGCGAAAGUUACGCUAGUACCGCAUACGAUCCAAGGAUGAAAGUGGGGGAUUCGCAAGAACCUCAUGCUCCUGGAGCGGCCGAUAUCUGAUUAGCUAGUUGGUAGGGUAAAGGCCUACCAAGGCUACGAUCAGUAGCCGGUCUGAGAGGACGACCAGCCACACUGGAACUGAGACACGGUCCAGACUCCUACGGGAGGCAGCAGUGGGGAAUUUUGGACAAUGGGCGCAAGCCUGAUCCAGCAAUGCCGCGUGAGUGAAGAAGGCCUUCGGGUUGUAAAGCUCUUUUGUCAGGGAAGAAACGGUGGGGGCUAAUAUCCUCCACUAAUGACGGUACCUGAAGAAUAAGCACCGGCUAACUACGUGCCAGCAGCCGCGGUAAUACGUAGGGUGCAAGCGUUAAUCGGAAUUACUGGGCGUAAAGCGUGCGCAGGCGGUUUUGUAAGUCUGUCGUGAAAGCCCCGGGCUCAACCUGGGAAUUGCGAUGGAGACUGCAAGGCUUGAAUCUGGCAGAGGGGGGGUAGAAUUCCACGUGUAGCAGUGAAAUGCGUAGAGAUGUGGAGGAACACCGAUGGCGAAAGGCAGCCCCCUGGGUCAAGAUUGACGCUCAUGCACGAAAGCGUGGGGAGCAAACAGGAUUAGAUACCCUGGUAGUCCACGCCCUAAACGAUGUCUACUAGUUGUCGGGUUUUAAUUAACUUGGUAACGCAGCUAACGCGUGAAGUAGACCGCCUGGGGGAGUACGGUCGCAAGAUUAAAACUCAAAUGAAUUGACGG